UACGGGGGGAGCAAGCGUUGUUCGGAUUUACUGGGCGUAAAGGGCGCGUAGGCGGCCACCGCAAGUCGACUGUGAAAUCUCCGGGCUUAACCCGGAAAGGUCAGCCGAUACUGCGGGGCUAGAGUGCAGAAGGGGCAACUGGAAUUCUCGGUGUAGCGGUGAAAUGCGUAGAUAUCGGGAGGAACACCAGUGGCGAAGGCGGCUUCCUGGCCUGUUCUUGACGCUGAGGCGCGAAAGCUAAGGGGAGCAAACGGGG
rnacentral:rRNA from 1 species